UACGUAGGGUGCAAGCGUUAAUCGGAAUUACUGGGCGUAAAGCGUGCGCAGGCGGUUAUGUAAGACAGAUGUGAAAUGCCCGGGCUUAACCUGGGAACUGCAUUUGUGACUGCAUGGCUAGAGUUUGGCAGAGGGGGGUAGAAUUCCACGUGUAGCAGUGAAAUGCGUAGAGAUGGUGAGGAACACCGAUGGCGAAGGCGAGCCUCCUGGGCCA
rnacentral:rRNA from 1 species